rnacentral:rRNA from 1 species
AACGAACGCCGGCGGCGCGCCUAAUACAUGCAAGUCGAACGAGAAUGUGUAGCAAUACACAUGUACAGUGGCGAACGGGUGAGGAAUACAUAGGUAACCUACCCUCGAGUGGGGAAUAACUAGCCGAAAGGUUAGCUAAUACCGCGUACGCUCCCCGGACUACGGUUCGGGGAGGAAAGCGAUACCAUGGGUAUCGCGCUCUUGGAUGGGCUUAUGUCCUAUCAGCUUGUUGGUGAGGUAAUGGCUCACCAAGGCUUCGACGGGUAGCUGGUCUGAGAGGACGAUCAGCCACACUGGCACUGCGACACGGGCCAGACUCCUACGGGAGGCAGCAGUAAGGAAUAUUGCGCAAUGGGCGACAGCCUGACGCAGCGACGCCGCGUGGGGGACGAAGGUCUUCGGAUUGUAAACCCCUUUCGGGAGGGAAGAUGGGAUGGGUAACCAUUCGGACGGUACCUCCAGAAGCAGCCACGGCUAACUUCGUGCCAGCAGCCGCGGUAAUACGAAGGUGGCAAGCGUUGUUCGGAUUUACUGGGCGUACAGGGAGCGUAGGCGGUUCAGUAAGCCCUUUGUGAAAUCUCCAGGCUUAACCUGGAACAGCCGGAGGGGACUGCUGAGCUAGAGGAUGGGAGAGGAGCGCGGAAUUCCCGGUGUAGCGGUGAAAUGCGUAGAG